UACGUAGGUGGCAAGCGUUUGUCUGGAAUUAUUGGGCGUAAAGCGCGCGCAGGCGGCCUUUUAAGUCUGAUGUGAAAGCCCACGGCUCAACCGUGGAAGGUCAUUGGAAACUGAAAGGCUUGAGUACAGAAGAGGAAAGCGGAAUUCCACGUGUAGCGGUGAAAUGCGUAGAGAUGUGGAGGAACACCAGUGGCGAAGGCGGCUUUCUGGUCUGUAACUGACGCUGAGGCACGAAAGCGUGGGGAGCAAACAGG
rnacentral:rRNA from 1 species